rnacentral:rRNA from 1 species
UACGUAGGGUGCAAACGUUGCUCGGAAUCACUGGGCGUAAAGGGCGUGUAGGCGGGAAUGUAAGUCGGGCGUGAAAUCCCUAGGCUCAACCUAGGAACUGCACUCGAAACUGCGUUUCUUGAGUAUCGGAGAGGAAAGCGGAAUACCUGGUGUAGAGGUGAAAUUCGUAGAUAUCAGGUGGAACACCAGUGGCGAAGGCGGCUUUCUGGACGAUAACUGACGCUGAGACGCGAAAGCGUGGGGAGCAAACAGG